ensembl:lncRNA
CACACACACACACACACACACACACACACACACACACACACACACACACACAGUUGCGCAUACUUUCAGCCACACCUUCCGCUCUAAUACGCGCUGGCAGGGAGUCAUAAAUUCCUGGGUAAUGAUUAAGACCUUAUCAGACCAGUGAAGAAGUGACGUAUUCCCAGAGCACACACAAGCCCCCACACACACAAACACACACACGCGCACACACACACACACACACACACACACACGUAUGCAAUACAAAUAGACAUAAACCCCAUAGAGGACAUUGGUUGUCCGGGUCAGGGAUUUAUUCAUGGACAUGAGAUGUGAUGAUGUUUUUUUUUUUCCCGUGUGAUUAAAAUUAGGAGUGACGAUCAAGAACUAGUCAUAGCUUUAUACAUUGUGCACUUAGUAGGAAAAGUCUAACAAAAUACAACUGCUUUGUGAACUGAAUCAGGAGCAAGGAACGUGUCCUCCAUCAAAAACAGUAAGUAAGGCAAGUAACGUCAAAGAGGUGCGGAAAAGGGGAGAGAGGAACACACACACACACGCACACGCACACACACACACACACACACGUCAACAACACACAUCUUGUGUCCGAUUACCUGAGCUAUCCGGAAAAAAACCUCUCCCCUGGCCCAGCGUGAAGCCCUAGCGCACGUUUUACGCACAAACACACACUCUUUUUCUACGCACAUACAGACACACACAUGGCGUGGAGCAGGCUGAGCCGGGUGGUGUCCUGGGGGGUGGAGGAGGGGGGUUGCCUGUGUCUGCCUGUUUCCUGGCUAGUGUGCUGGGGUGAUGUGUUUAAUUGGGUGUAACGCAGACUGCACGUUAGGGAACUAAACAAAGCUAUAUCCCGGCCACCCGUUUAGGAGGGGCGGCAAACCAGGGAGACUGGAGUUCCAUCUGUUAACCCACCGUCUCCUUCCCCAUCCCCUCCUCUCUCCCCUCUCUCCCCCCUCCCUCCGUCCGUCCGUCCGUCCGUCCGUCCGUCCGUCCGUCCGUCCGUCCUUCCCGGGCCUCCGAGUGGAACCGCGGGGAGUCUCGUGGUUGGCGGGAGGAAGUGAGGCGUCGUGUGGAGGUGAAGGCAGGAGGAGGAAGGCGGAGGGAGGGAGGUGGAGGUUCUUCGCGGUGAGACACCCAAUCAAACGGGACGAAAACGUCUCUCUCUCUCUCUGUGUCUCUGUCUGUCUGUCCGUCCGUCCGUCCCCCCGUUGGGCCGAUGCGUCCCCCUGAUCCGCUGGUGUAGUGGCUCCUGGCGUCUCCUCUCCAGAGGUGCACAGCAGGCGGUAAAUAGAACCGCGGGCUUGUCGGGGAAAAAAAAACAAGUCCCUCAAAAAGGAAAGAAAGAAAAAAAACAACAACCAUAUUAUUCUGCCCGGCGCCGACACGGAAAUCAAACGCUCCCUCCUCGGAUCCCCUCGUCACCUCCUCGUCCUCAACCUCCCACCACGCCUCGGCAUCCAGUUUCCACCUGUUUCCAUCUGGCUGUUUUUUUUCUCUUCUGUGCGUCGGGGUGGUGGUGGUUUGGGG